UACGUAGGGUGCAAGCGUUGUCCGGAAUUAUUGGGCGUAAGAGCUCGUAGGCGGCUUGUCGCGUCGGUUGUGAAGCCCGGGACUCAACUCCGGGUCUGCAGUCGAUACGGGCUAGCUAGAGUGUGGUAGGGGAGAUCGGAAUUCCUGGUGUAGCGGUGAAAUGCGCAGAUAUCAGGAGGACACCGGUGGCGAAGGCGGAUCUCUGGGCCAUUACUGACGCUGAGGAGCGAAAGCGUGGGGAGCGAACAGG
rnacentral:rRNA from 1 species